rnacentral:rRNA from 1 species
UACAGAGGUCUCAAGCGUUGUUCGGAUUCAUUGGGCGUAAAGGGUGCGUAGGCGGCGCGGUAAGUCGGGUGUGAAAUCUCGGGGCUUAACUCCGAACUGCAUUCGAUACUACCGUGCUUGAGGACUGGAGAGGAGACUGGAAUUUACGGUGUAGCGGUGAAAUGCGUAGAUAUCGUAAGGAAGACCAGUGGCGAAGGCGGGUCUCUGGACAGUUCCUGACGCUGAGGCACGAAGGCCAGGGGAGCAAACGGG